AUUGAACGCUGGCGGCAGGCUUAACACAUGCAAGUCGAACGAGUGGCGGACGGGUGAGUAAUAUCUGGGAACCUGCCUGAUGGCGGGGGAUAACUACUGGAAACGGUAGCUAAUCCCGCAUACCAUCGGAUGUGCCCAGAUUGGAUUAGCUAGUAGGUGGGGUAAAGGCUCACCUAGGCGACGAUCCCUAGCUGGUCUGAGAGGAUGACCAGCCACACUGGAACUGAGACACGGUCCAGACUCCUACGGGAGGCAGCAGGGGGGAAUAUUGCACAAUGGGCGCAAGCCUGAUGCAGCCAUGCCGCGUGUAUGAAGAAGGCCUUCGGGUUGUAAAGUACUUUCAGCGGGGAGGCGGUACCCGCAGAAGAAGCACCGGCUAACUCCGUGCCAGCCGCCGCGGUAAUUC
rnacentral:rRNA from 1 species